UACGGGGGGGGCAAGCGUUGUUCGGAAUUACUGGGCGUAAGGGGCUCGUAGGCGGCCAACUAAGUCAGACGUGAAAUCCCCAGGCUUAACCUGGGAACUGCGUCUGAUACUGGAUGGCUUGAAUUCGGGAGAGGGAUGCAGAAUUCCAGGUGUAGCGGUGAAAUGCGUAGAUAUCUGGAGGAAUACCGGUGGCGAAGGCGGCAUCCUGGACCGAGAUUGACGCUGAUGAGCGAAAGCUAGGGGAGCAAACGGG
rnacentral:rRNA from 1 species